rnacentral:tRNA from 1 species
GGCGGUGUAGCUCAGCGGUCAGAGCACGUGGCUCAUAUCCACGGAGUCGAGGGUUCGAAUCCCCCCACCGCCA